CCUACGGGAGGCAGCAGUGAGGAAUAUUGGUCAAUGGACGAGAGUCUGAACCAGCCAAGUAGCGUGAAGGAUGACUGCCCUAUGGGUUGUAAACUUCUUUUAUAUGGGAAUAAAAUAGGGUACGUGUACCUUCUUGUAUGUACCAUAUGAAUAAGGCUCGGCUAACUCCGUGCCAGCAGCCGCGGUAAUACGGAGGAUCCGAGCGUUAUCCGGAUUUAUUGGGUUUAAAGGGAGCGUAGAUGGGUUGUUAAGUCAGUUGUGAAAGUUUGCGGAUCAACCGUAAAAUUGCAGUUGAAACUGGCAGUCUAGAGUACAGUAGAGGUAGGCGGAAUUCGUGGUGUAGCGGUGAAAUGCUUAGAUAUCACGAAGAACUCCGAUUGCGAAGGCAGCUUACUGGACUGCAACUGACACUGAUGCUCGAAAGUGUGGGUAUCAAACAGGAUUAGAUACCCUGGUAGUC
rnacentral:rRNA from 1 species